rnacentral:misc_RNA from 1 species
GCGAUCCGUAAAUUAAAUUGUCCUAUUAGUCGUCGAACAUUUAUCUACGCCUUCAUUAUCGUCCUUCUGUUUUAAUUAAUUUAAGCUUUUAAAGUGUACAAAUGAAUUUGGUGUUGGUGGAUAAUCGCGUUGCUUUUAUGGAUAGGAUUUAGCAAAAAAGCAUUUAAGUGGAACUGCAACAAUAUUCAUUUAGACUCUGGUAUUCAAAGGCCAAGUAUGUGGAGCAACAUGAUGGAUUACGAGGUUAAUAGGAAAUCGUUCAGAUGAAUUGCAGAAUUUAAAACACAAUGGGUUAUGUUAGAAUAAAUAAUACACAGCAUGAUUUCUACCCAUAAAAUUAAGGCUUCAAUGAGAACCAGCUGAAAGUAAUACGUGGGAAGCAAUCAUUCUGCGAAGAGAAACAAGCGACGACUACAGGACAGUAUACUAGCGAUUUUCCGGUGACUUCGUACCACUAGUUGACUUCCGUGUUCAGAAG